GGUUCGAUCCUGGCUCAGGAUUGAACGCUGGCGGGAUGCUUUACACAUGCAAGUCGAACGCGCAGCACGGACUUCGGUCUGGUGGCGAGUGGCGAACGGGUGAGUAAUGUAUCGGAACGUGCCUAGUAGCGGGGGAUAACUACGCGAAAGUGGAAGCACACCGCAUACGGGCCCCUUCGGGGGAAAGCGGGGGACCUUUCGGGCCUCGGUAUUAGAGCGGCCGAUAUCGGAUUAGCUAGUUGGUGGGGUAACGGCUCACCAAGGCGACGAUCCGUGGCUGUUUGAGAGGACGACCAGCCACACUGGGACUGAGACACGGCCCAGACUCCUACGGAGGCAGCAGUGGGGAAUUUUGGACAAUGGGGAAACCCCGAUCCAGCCAUCCGCGUGUGCGAUGAAGGCCUUCGGGCUGUGUUAAUUUCGGGGCAGGAAAGAAACGGCACGGGAUAAUACCCCGUGCAACUGACGGUACCUGUAGAAUACACCGGCUAACCACGCCAGCAGCCGCGGUAAUACGUAGGUGCAAGACCGGAAUUACUGGGCGCAAGGUGCGCAGGCGGUCUGGAAAGAGACGUGAAAUCCCAGAGCUUAACUUUGAAAAACUCAUUUUUAACUACCGAGCUAGAGUGUGUCAGAGGGAGGUGGAAUUCCGUGUAAGGUGAAAUGCGUAGAUAUGCGAGAACAACGAUGGCGAAGGCAGCCUCCUGGGAUAACACCGACGCCCGUUUUUUUAUCGAAAGUGGGGAGCAAACAGGAUUAGAUACCCUGGUAGUCCACGCCCUAAACGAUGUCAACUAGCUGUUGGGGCCUCGGGCUCUGCAGGCGCAGCUAAUGGCGGUGAAGUUGACCGCCUGGGGAGUACGGUCGUGUUAAAACUCGUGGCGGAAUUGAUUUGGGACCCGCACAAGCGGUGGAUGAUGUGGAUUGACUCGAUGCAACGCGAAAAACCUUACCUACCUCGACAUGUUCAAAUCCUGAAGAUUUGGGAGUGUUUCCGUAAGAGAACUGGAACACAGGUGCUGCAUGGCUGUCGUCGCCGUCGUGAGAGUGUUGGUUAAGUCCCAACAGAGUGCAACCCUUGUCAUUAGUUGUUACGGAAAGGGCACUCUACGAGACUGUUGGUGACAAAACUCGAGAAGGUGGGGAUGACGUCAAGUCCUCGCGCCCUUAUGGGUAGGGCUUCACAUCGUCAUACAAUGGUCGGGACAGAGGGUCGCUAACCCGCGAGGGGAGCCAAUCCAGAACCUGAUCGUAGGUCCGAUCGUAGUCUGGCAACUCGACUGCGUGAAGUCGGAAUCGCUAGUAACGAUUGCAUGUCGCGGUGAACAUGUCUUCGGGUCCAAAGACACCGCCUGUCACACCAUGGAGGCUUUACCAGAUAGUUAGGCCCUAACCGUAAGGAGGGCGAUUACCACGGUAGGAUUCAUGACUGGGGUGAAGCUGCGUCCAAAGGUGAAUC
rnacentral:rRNA from 1 species